UACGAAGGGGGCUAGCGUUGUUCGGAAUUACUGGGCGUAAAGGGCGCGUAGGCGGUUCGAAUAGUCAGGCGUGAAAGCCCUGGGCUCAACCCCGGAACUGCGCUUGAUACUGACGGACUAGAGUGUGGGAGAGGGUGGUGGAAUUCCCAGUGUAGAGGUGAAAUUCGUAGAUAUUGGGAAGAACACCAGUGGCGAAGGCGGCCACCUGGACCACUACUGACGCUGAUGCGCGAAAGCGUGGGGAGCAAACAGG
rnacentral:rRNA from 1 species